ACAGCCCCAUAGAUUAAUGUUACCAUCUAUAAGGACUGACAGGAGCAUGGUGCUGAAAGGAACAGAAGGUUGAACACACCAUUCAGAAGUACCUAUAUUUGCAACAGAGUUUUAUAAUCAGAAGAAAAAGGCUAACAUGUAACAUAGGAUGGGAAAAAAAAACACUCAAAGGCUUGUCCGCCAAUCUGGUGAGAUUUAUUAUCCACAGCCCUGGCCCAGGCAUUUUUGCAAUGCUGAAAAAGCAAACACAAGGUAAUGGAAAAUAAUUAUGAGUUAUUCUUUUGCUUCAGAGGUGAUUAAUGUGACACGGUCAAGUUAAAUCCUCUGAAGAGCGGCAACGCUUUUCACUGAUGUGUUUUGUAAGCAUGGAUUUGAGACUAUUCUACAAGAGAUUUUAAUUUCCUGCUAAAAGAUAUGGUUCAUGAUCAAAACCAAGAUAUACAUAAAUACUAGCUGCUGAGCUUGCAAGAGUGAUAUGUUUCUUAUCAGCAAAUGAUAAGAACAUAAAAGAUUUGAGUUUUGUGAUACAAAUAAUUCUAUAUUACCAAAACCAUGCAGAACUGAAUUGAAAUAUUGUCAUGGUCUGUGCUGCAAAGAGUCUGAUAGUAGCACAGACUACCAAGUAGACUCUGCCCAUAUUCCAGAGGGUCUGUGUCUACUCCUGGUUGAAAAAUUAAAUAAAUCAAAAUGUGGCACUUAGAAAUUUGAAUAGCUUAAUUUUAUAGAAUGAAUUUGUGACACACUGUCUGAUUGCUGUGCUUUGAGUCCUUUAAUGCCUAAUAUCAUGCGCUAUGAAGCUAUGCACAUAUACUUCAUUUUUAUGCAGGUACUGCUUAUCUACAGUUUUAAGUUUUAGUCUCAACUUACCACCGCUCUGUAAGUAAGCCCUCAGCAAGUUUGCAGAUGACACCAAGCUGAGUGGUGCUGUUGCCACACCGCAAGGAUGGGAUGUCAUCCUGAGGGACCUGGACAGGCUGGAGAAGUGGGGCUAUGAGAACUUCAUGAGGUUCAAAAAGGCCAAGUACAAGGUCCUGCACCUGAGUUGGAGCAAUCACCAGUUUCAAUACAGGAUGGGAAAUGAUGUGAUUGAGAGCAGCCCUGCAGAGAAGGACUUGGGAUGCUGGUCGAUGAGAAGCUCGACAUGAGCCGGCAAUGUGUGCUCGCAGCCCAGAAGGCCAAACGUAUCCUGGGCUGCAUCAAAAGAAUCGUGGCCAGCAGGUCAAGGGAAGUGAUUCUGCCCUCUAUUCCUCUCUUGUGAGACCUCCUCUGCAGUAUUGUGUCCAGUUCUGGAAUCUUCAGCCUAAGAAGGAUAUGGAGCUGUUGGAACAGGUCCAAAGGAGGCCAUAAAGAUGAUCAGAGGGCUGGAGAACCUUCCCUACGAGGACAGGCUGAGGGAGUUGGGCUUGUUCAGCCUGGAGGAGAGAAGGCUUAGAGGAGACCUUAUAGGGACCUUCCAGUACUGAAGGUGGCCUGCAAGAAAUCUGGGGAAGGACUUAUUACAAAAGCCUGUAGUGAUAGGAGCAUGGGUAUAAACUGGAGAGGGACAGAUUUAUACUAGAAUUAAGGAGGAAAUUUUUUACAAUGAGGAUGCUGAAGAACUGGCACAGGUUUCCUAGGGAAGUUAUAGAUGCCCCAUCCCUGGAAGUGUUCAAGGUCAGGUUGGAUGGGGCUUUGAGCAGCCCAGUCUGGUGGGAGGUGUCCCUGCCCAUGACAGGGGAUAGGAAUUAGAUGAUCUUUAAGGUCCCUUCCAACUCAAACCAUUCUAUGAUUCUAUGUUUUUUAGUGAAUUCAAAUUAAACUAAUAACCAUCAGGAUGCAGAACAUCUGAACACCAAGAAAUAUGUAAAUUUUAGUGUUGCAGGUGUCACAGCCAGUUGCCUCAGCUGGACAUCACAUUGGGAUAAUCAUUUUGGCUGGUUAUUGCCUACUCUAGGGCAUUGUUACAGAACAAGAUAUCCUUUUAAUCUGGGAAUUUCCGUGCUCUACCAUGUUUGUGUGGCUCAAACCAAUGCCCAGCUGAAGAAUUAGCUGAAAGCAUCUCCAGAUGAGCACUUUGUAUUCACAGACUGGUGGAUCUCAGAUUCUCCUCUAACAUACUGUGCCUGCAGUUUUGCUGUGUGUGAUUGAAAGGUCCGUCCUCCUGCUUGGAGAUUGAGUGUUUAAGUAUUGAUGUGAAGUACUCUGUGUCCUGUUAUGCAGUAGGCAGUCUAUGGCACUCAAGAGGCUUCACACUGCUCUUUUUCAGGAUCAAGACAAUCUCAGUUACACUGGCUACAAUUAGCAUGAGUUUGAAUAUACAGAGGUUCUUCGAAAAGCUGACAAAUAAAACCAUCUAAACCCCAAAUCAAAACACCUCGAUUGCCACUUUAUCACCAUACUGGCAAGCAAUAUUCAACCCUGAUCUGGCUCUGUGUACCUUUGCCUAGCUAGGAGAGUGAGUGUGAAGAGGACAAAGUUACAUUUAGGCCCUUGCUAGCUGUCUUUGAUACAUGUCACUUAAGGUGCUAAUCCAAGACCUCAAGAUUGUAUUUCAUCCAUCUUAUCUCCAGUUUCUGAUUGGAAGCAUGUCCUAACCUCCACAAAGAGAUGCUUUGCCAUCAUCUGCAGCACUCAAGUCCUUACACUCCUCUGUUCAGACCUUUGAUUCCAAUUUUGUGUGUGCUAGAUUGCCCAGCUUUUUUCGUCACCUCUUCAGGUUCAGCAAGCCACUGGCUGGAGCAGCCUCUCCUCCUCUCCUUAGGAUAGUAGCUGAGCCCAGAUGUUUCUCCUGGUGUUACUGAAACUUGGUUUGUGGGUAUAUAGGGAGAAAGUGUUUUGCAGGAGCUACUUCAAAUUUAUCUUCUAUUACAUGUUGUCAGGAUGUCAAAUCUCAGCUUACUCACCUCUUAUUUCAUAGAAUUAUAGAAUCAUUAAGGUUGGAAAAAAGACCCCAAAGAUCAUCAAAUCCAACCUUCAGCCCAACACCACCAUUCCUGUUAAACCAUGUCCCAAAGUGCCACAUCUACACGUAUUUUGAACUCCAUUACUUCCCUGGGGAGCCCGUUCUAAUGAUUCACCACUCCUUUGGUAAAGAAAUUUUUCCUGGUAUCUGAUCUGAACAUCCCUUGGUGCAGCUUGAGGCCAUUUCAUCUCAUCCUAUUCCUGUUACUUGGGAGAAGAGACCAACACCCAUCUCACUGCCAUCUCCUUUCGGAGAGCUGUAGAGAGCAGUAAGAUCUCCCCUCAGCUUCCUUUUCUCCAGACUAAACACCCGCAGUUCCCUCAACUGCUCCUCAUAACACUUGUUCUCCAGCCCCUUCUCCAGCCUCGCUGCCCUUCUCUGGGCACAUUCCAGCACCUCCAUGUCUUUAUUGUAGUGAGAAGCCCGAAACUGAACACAAGAUUUGAGGUGCGGCCCCAAGUGAAGGGGCAGAAUCCCUUCUCUAGUCCUGCUGACUGUACUGUUUCGGAUCCAAGACAGGAUGCCAUUGGCCUUCUUGGACACCUGGGCACACUUCUAGCUCAUGUUCAGUUGGCUGUCAAUCAACACCCCCAGGUCCUUUCCGCCCAGCCGCUUUCUAGCCACUGUUCCCCAAGUCUACAGCACUGCACAGGGUUGUUAUGUCCCAAGUGCGGGGACAUUGUUAAACCUCAUGUGGUUGACUUCUGCUCGUCGAUCCAACCUGUUCAGAUCUCUCUGCAGAGCUUUUUUACCCUUGAGCUUAUCAUCACUCCCACCCAAUCUGGUGUCAUUUGCAAACUGACUGAAGCAGCACUCAAUCCCCUCAUCCAGUUCAUUAAUAAUGAUAUUAAACAGAACGGGACCCAACACUGAGCCCUGGGAAACACUGUUUGUGGUCAGAUGCCAACUGGAUUUAGCUCCAUUCACCACAACUCUCUGGGCUUAGCCAGCCAGCCUUGCUCAAGAAGGCACGGGAAUGUUUAUAUGAAACUCAUUUUUAUUCUAUUGAGCACAAUUAUACUCCUAUAAGAUCACAAGAUCAAGUAACAUUUUACUGUUCUACCAAUUAGAGCUUAAAGUGGAAGUGUUCUUUGGGACACUGCGUGUCUCCUGAACAGAGUCUGUUUACUCAUUAUCUCCCUUCAUUUCACCAAUAUCAGAGAUGGGUGAAUCAGAGCUGUGGACAUACACACACAGAGAUGUGUCCUGGUACUUUGUCUUUCUCCAGUGGGAUCCCUCUCUGUUGUAUUAACUACCGGCAGAAGAAUUUUGCACAUUUAUGGUCAGUUUGUUUCUAGGGCAAUAUUAGAAACCUCAGUGAACUCAGUGUUUACCUGACAGUUAAUGAACUGGGUUUUGGGCACAGUCAUUUUGGCAUUUGGAAUGGAUGACUCAUAUAAUGACAAAUUUUUAAGAGAGACUUGAAGAGCUUGUUCCCCACCUGGUGAGCUCUGACUUCACGGUUCUUUCCAUCUUCUCCACCUCCACUUUUCACAGGUCGUCUUCCAUUCCAUCUUUUUAUCUAGACUUCACACCAUAGCUAUCUGUUUCCAUACUCACCAUACAGGUGCCCAUAAUUGAGGAAGGGGUUCUUGGGUUUCAAAGGGCUGAUGCCCUCCCCUCCUGUGUGGCAAAUAAGCUGCUGCUGGUGCUUCAGGAGUUGGGUUUGUGGUUUGGCUGCCCUGGAAAGGAGGGAAAUAAGCAAGCAUGUGAGGACUCAACUUCUUCAAGCAUCUUUGUUAUGUGAAUGGACUGCAUUACUGUGGCUCCUGCUUGAACCCCAGCUAAAUGCUUUUGACUGCCUGGUGGAUAAAUUCCUUUUCCGAGUCACCAUUUCUCACAUUGCUCUCUGAGACCUGCUAGUUCUUCAUCCCCUUGGAGGGAUGCUGACACUUCAUUUCUCUCAGUCGAGGCAUAUCAGUUAGUAAAUUCUGUACACCAGCCCUGAGUUUAUUGUGUCUUCACCUUGUCUUUUUCUUGCAUUACUCAUUUACGUAUAGCUCUUAUUUUCUGUCAGAAUUAUUUUUCAGGAAAGCACAGUGUGAUAGAUUUCUGGGGAUAAAAAUUCUACAUAGUCCUCCAAGUUUUCCUGGUUGUCCAGUUCUAUAUUGUAAAUGAACACCAACAUGCUAAUCAGGAUACAGUGAUUUUUCUGAUGUCCAUGUUAAUGUCAGCUCUUGGGCAAGGAUUUAUUGCUUUGUCUGGGGAAAACAGUGGGAGGAUGUCCUCCUUUGUUCUCCUAGCUAUUGCUUGUAUCUGUUGUUUUCAAUAUCCAGGCAGCAUAAUUGGAUUUUUUUUACUAUCAUAAUUUCUCUUUGAUGUGUGAGGUUUUGGGGGAUCUUGGUUUGGUUGGUGUUUUCUUUUGGGUUUUUGUGUAUGUUUGUGUGUGUUUUGUUUUGGUUUUUUAACCAGCUUUCAUUGCUAGUAUUUAGUUCUAUUUUUGCGAGAUAACAAGUACUAGGUGUUAGAUUGUUGUUAUUCCUCUGAUACCUCUGUGUUAUGUCCAAGGUCCAUAAAAGAAUUGGCUUAAAUAUGCUCCCUACUAAAGAUAAAGAUAUCUUUUAUUUCAACAUUUUCCUGAGACAUAUCUUCAGGCUGUGAAAACUUUUGCAACCAUAUAAAAUGAUAGGCAGUUUCUCAUAAAAGAGAGGCCAAAGGCUUCUUGAACCAAAAUGUCACAUUUCAGUCCCAAAGAUUUUUAACUCUCCUUACAAAAACUUGAAGUGAAAUCAAAGGAUGCAGCUGAAUCUUGAAUUUAUGGCCAUAUAGUUACUCGCAACUUUCAGAUAGAUCUACAGAAAUUGUCCUUAUUGAUGAAGUCUGAAGAUAGCCAAGAGGCAUCUGUCUGGUGGAAUGUCCAGUUGGGAUCAUAUUUACUCAUGAAGAGUAGUUUAAAAGUGCUUUGGACUAGAUCUAAGUUUCUGUCUGUUGUUCAAGGGCAGAUGCCUGCUUGCCAUAGUCUUUCUUAAAUUGUUUUUGAUUUCUUUUCAAAUUAAUAGGUAUUCAUAACCUCGAUCCUUAGAGUCUGUUGCUGAUUUGGAGUUGGGGCUGGGGUCAGAGGUGAGGGGAUAGAGAAUUUUUAUUUGAAAUGAGUUCACCACAAGGUGGUGUCAAAUUAUUUAUCGGGUGUUGUUUAUAUAAAGUGCAGAGAAAAGAAUUGUAGUGUUAUAGGAGUCUGGCAAUCUCUAAAACCGAUACAGAAAGUUAAUAAAUUGAGCAAAGAACUUAACUAUUAGGAAUUUUGUCUACUGCCUCUGUUAAGAUCCAUUUUAAAGGCAUUACAUCAGCCUAAAUAAAGGCAGUGCUCACUCACAUCCCCUGUUGGAUCAAGAAAGUCAAAUGGUCAGCAGACAAAGGAAGCAGAUGAAAAAUUAUUUCCUACUUUGAAUUCCAACAAGCUUCAUCUGUGGAACUAUCUUUACGCGUUGUGAAAACUUCAAAAGUCAGUAUGUGACAGUGAUGUCUAGUAAUAUAAGAAAAAAAAAAGAACAAGAGGAAUUAUUCCCUGACAGUAAAAAAUUCCACAUGCAAGGCAAUAUUUAUUCUUUGAUCCAUAAAAGCCAGAUAUGCAAAGUACAGCUUCAGUGUCUGCCUCAUUAGAUAAAAUGGAGCCUAAAUUGAAAGGGAAAGAAAGUGUUUAUUUGCUUUUGUACAUUUUUAAAUGCAGAUAAUCUUUUCAUAGGAAAUUGACCAAGCAGGUUGGCUUCUGGAUAGUAGACUUGAUGUCUAGAAGGAAUCACUCUAACUUCCCAGGAAUUCUGUUUUAAAAUCAUGCCUCUCCUUGCUAUAAAUUUAUAAAUUUAUAGAUGCUAUAAAUUUAGCUAAUAGUAUUUAAAAAAAUAUGAUAAUCAUACCGAAGAAUUUACAUUGUUACUAUAUGAAUCCUAAGACCAUGGCACAUAAAUUCAUUUGACGUCCAGAUUGUUAUGUAGAGCUAAUUAAUGCUGAAAUAUCUAUUUUUCCUGUACUCACUAUGCCAUUUGCACCCAACCUCAUCCUAAUUAGGGAACCUGAGAUGCUGCAAAGUAGGAUUUCUUGAGGAAAGGAUACCUAGUGAGUGUUCCACGGCAAAUGAAAAUGAAAAAUGGGAACAAAGGUAGGUCCAUGCAGCGGUGUGUAGAGAUGCCUGGGCUAGCUGAGGUGCUGUAGCAGGCGUGAAAGAGCAGCCCAUUGCCCCGUCUAGUGUAUUUUGCUUCUCAGCAGAGUUAUUUAGAUUGAGCAACAUGGAAAUGCUACCGAGGCAAGUAAAGGUAGCUCUGCAUAGCCCUGCAGUGGGCCGUGAAACAUAUGGUCCACUAACUGCAACCUAAUAAAACCCUUUUGUGAAAUAAUUUCUGUGCUGUGAUGAUGUAGAGUUCAGUUAAUCUUUGCAGUCUGGAAGAUGUUGUUGAAAGAAGAAUAUUGCUUUAUAUGAAAGAACUGUUUAAGGUUGCCAUUUUUGGUGACCAGUGGUGACAAUUGUCUCAGCAUUUAGAACUUUGCAAAAAUUAUUUAUAUUUCUCUCCCUCCCACUGCUGGCCUCAUCUUCUAGGGGAUAUGUAAGCCCCUUCCAGAACUUUCAAAAUUAUUUUGAAAUAAUUUUCUUUUUUCUUUUCUUAUAAAGAUUGUCACUCAUACAGGAUUCAGGGUGCUGUGUGGAUCGGUUUUUAUUUGCAGUUGAUUCUUUCUGACUUGUGCUGUUUUGGUGGGAUUUGCUUUUUAUAACUUUUUGGAUAGGAUUGCAUGUACAACGACAGAGCAAGGCAGUCCUGUUCUGAAAGGGGCCUGUGGGUACUACUACCAUGUGAGUAAUGCUGAAAUAAUUCUGUUCUGCACAGAGACUGCUUUCUUAUUUGUCAAGCUUCCCAGAGGAAAGUGGCAGAAGCAAGGGCUCUGACUGCUAAACUUCAGCUGGGAGCCAUUUAUCAGGAUAAUGUCAUGCUCAGAACUGCUACGGAGCUCACUCUUAAGUUGCACUGGGAUGUCAUGGGGAGCCCCAGCCAGCAGUGGACUGGCAUCAGCGCCACGGGGAGCAGCUGCUGCAGAGCUCAAUGCAGAGGUGGGAGCAAGGGCCAGUUUGGCUUGAGCUGCUGUACUGGUUCAACACUGGUGCCAGCAGCAGCUAAGCUGUUUCCUACUUUAGGAAUUUGGAAAUAAUUUCCCCCAGCUACAUAUUCUGGGAAGGAGGAACUUGAAUAACAUGACUACAUAGGGUCUGUAAUGCCCUGUUGGACUCCUGGCCCCUUUGGCAGGUAGUGAUGUUGCAGCCGGAGACCAGAGCUGCAGCUUUUGGCACUUGGAGGAGGGCCUCCUGGCCAAGGCAGAAGGUUGGGUCUCUGCCUUAUUUUAAAUGAGCCUGCACAGUAGGCCUGUGUGGACAAAGAAGCUGCAAAUUCAAAGCAUUUCUUUAAAAAAAAGAAAAUACCAUCAGCAACCUUCCUAAUGGCAAAAGUAACCUUGAUUGUCAAAUGAAAAAUAGCUUUACCAGUUGCUGAAAACUACCACUGCAUUUAAGAAACCCACUUGAUUGCACAAACUUCAUUAAAAGGUAGUUUCUGUUCCAGUGCCACAGUCGCUAGAACAAGGUCAAAGGCUCUGCCUGGGUGCAUGACUUGGGGCGAGGGGAAGUGGAUUCUCCUCCCGGCUUGGCCAUUAGUGCGAUAUAAAACCCAAACUAAGUCCCUUCAUCUCUGUUUUGCUUUCUGUCUCCUCAGAUAUCUGACCUUGGUGGGUGCAGCUUUGAUAUAAGCAACUGUAUCUCAGCAGAGCCAUGGCCACGCAGAGUUUAAGUAAUAAGCAUUAAGUAAUCUCAGCCUGGUCCCCCAUAAAUCAUGGACUAUUAAACUGUCUGUUGGUCCCCCUGACCACCCUUCACACAGAGGUUUUAGCCUGGCUGAACCAUCUCACAGCCAAGAGGCCACAUCCCUGCAGCUGAGCAGCACGCAUCCCAAGCUUUGCAUGAUGAAGAAGCACUGGGAUACUGCUGUGACAUCCCUGGCAUCUGGACUGUGUCCUCCAGCAAGGCUAAAAAUCACCCUGCUCCCUCUGCUACAUGCACUGACAGUCAAAACUGCUGGUUUUUUCCUACAAAGACACAUUUCCUGCUACCUGCCUUCAAGGUGGAGUGCGCAAUGAGCCUACACGGCAUGUGGGAGCCAAGUUUUCCCUGCAUCUCACUUGAAUUACCACAAUGGGGUGGUAGGUUCCUGCGUAGCCAAAAUAUCAUAGAAAUGUGACAUUCAGCUCAGUGAGUGGCCAUAACCUGUUCUGCUCACUGAUCAGUGCUGGGUAAUCAGUACAACAUCUGCAGACACUGCUGUCAAAGCUUUUUAUCUCAUCUUUUGGAAUAUUGAUUAAAAAUAAAUAAUGUUAGCCCAAGAGUCAUCCCAGUGAGAAUCCUGCUGGAGCUAGCCCCAUUAGUAACUGUGCUUUAGGAUCUACUAGAGAGCCAGUUUGUAAUUUGUCUUCAUGCACAAUUAAGGCAAUAUUUUUUUGGAACCACAUGUCCAUGUCUAGACUUUGCUAGUGUUCGAAAAUCCUGGAGGACAAUAUCUGCAGAUGGGAACUUUAGCAUAAAUCAGCACUUGGUCUCAAGGCAUGACCUCCUCCAAUGCUCUUAUUGCGCUCAAAAAGAUAUGUGAAUAAAAGUAAGGCUAGUGGUGAUAUCAGGUCUGCUAACAGUCACAAUGGUUUGUGCUGUGGUUAAAUGAAGGCUAACUAACGGAGGGGGAAAGUUCGCUGCUUCUAACAUUUUCUCACAAACAAUCAGUUUCUUUCAGGCUACUCUUUGGUAUUUUGUUCUGACCUAAGAGAUGCUGAAGGCUUGAACGGUGCUGAUGUAAGCCCUACCAGGGACCUUCAAGUCGCAAAAUAUGUUGCCCGUGUCUGUGGACAGGUCACCUGGGAAAUGCCUCUGCUGCGCCUUGCAGAAAACAGCAGGUAUUCUGGAACAUUCUGGUUCUGCCUCAUCCUGCACAGCACAGGCACGGCACCGAGGAAGAGAAAGUUUCAUAAAGGCCUUUUGUGUAUCGCAGUCUGAAAUCUGGUAUCAGUAGAUGAAACGAAGACCGAGCAAGCAGAUUUCAAGAAACGUUUAAUAAUUUAUGAUGUACUUGGCACUUGUAUAGCACUUUUCAUCCAUGGUUCUUAAGAGACUUCAGAUAUGUCAAUAAAUGAUAAAAAUAUAAUAAUGUCUUAUUAUAAUAAAGCCAUUUCGCGUGUCCAUAAACAGGAAGAAAAUGCCUUCCUAGCAAGAUGAAUUGUUUUAUCUACAAUCAAAAAAGGCACUCUAAGAAAACAGGACAUAAAAGUAGAAAUCUUUGUUACCAUCUCUCCCUUGUAAGCUUUUUAAGGAAAAUCAUAGCUUUAGGCAGAAGAAUUAUUUCAUACUUCAGCAAAAAUACCUGCUUGACUGAUAUUUAUUACCCAUGGUGCUUGUAAGGCCUACAUGUGGUGGAUGUUUGCCCUUCUGCUUGGUAGCCUGCCAGCAGGAAUGGUUUUACCUCUGUAAGAAGCAGCAAUGUGAAGUCUUUGCCUUGGUGAUCAGGCUCAUCUGCAAUGAUUUUCUUUUAUAUGUUACCAAAAUGAAGAUAUUGCACGUAAAGUCUUUCCCCUACAGAUGCAAAACAGGUGAUAGAUGGCUAUAAACAAGAGCAAAUGUAAUCUCAGUCUCCUCUGGAUUUUUGGUUUGUUUUAAGGAUUGGAUUAUUUCCCUCCAUCAUCUAAAGUAUACAUGGGCAAGUGUUUGAGAUUUUGAACACAAAAUUUCCAGCAGGUUUUUCACCUUGCACACAGGGGUUUGGGCUUUAAGGCAUAAAGCAACACAGAGGGAAGAAGGCUGAGGCUCACUGCAUGGCACCGACUAGCAGCGUGCACUACCCAGAGUGACUGUUCUCAUUCACUUGGUGCAGCUGUAUCCUAUAGAAAUGUCCCUUAACAACUGAUUCCAAGUACAACAGUAGUUUGCCAAGUGACGAUGUGGUGGAUGUAGCUAUUGAGGAGCGUUCGGAAAAGGUCUAAAAAAAAAUCCAAAUAGCCAUUGGUGAGAUUUUGAGACAGUUUUACCGUAAUCCUUUACCAUAAGCAGAGGAUAAUGAAAACACCUGACUCUGGCUUGUGAGUAUUUCUACUGCACAUUGAAUUAAGUGAAAAUGCAGAAAUUAAAUGGAACUAUUCAGAUGGAAAAUUCCUUAAUGCACAAAGGUCUUCAAGUGAGAAUGUUACAUGCAGUACUUACCAUUAAAGACAUUGUUAUUCACCAGUGCUUACCACAUAUUGGCAUCUGAGAUGUUAUUCUGAUGAGCUAUUCUAAACAGAUGGGUUAACUGUGGUUUCUUGGAAAAUGCAUGGGUUUUAAUUGCAGUAACAUUACCUGCAUUAAUGGCCAUGGUAGGAUGUGGGUGAAUGUGUACUUGUACUUAAGGCUGUCCAAUAUUUUCCACUGCAAGAAGCUGUUUGCUGCUGUUUAUAGUAUCACCGCGUUUUGUCCAGCAAAAAUGGGUGUCUCUAACUGAUGCUGCUUCUCAAGUGCCAAGAGCAGUGGUUUGUGCAGCCACGGUGAGGCAGAUUCUCUCUGCCUCACCUGGAAAGCCUCUAAUGCCUUCUUAUAUUGAAGUUUCAGAUGUGCUUUGUGAUAGAGCAAGCUUUUGAAAUGUUGUGGGGGAUUACAGUAUUGUUAGCCCAGUGAAAAUCCUUUACACUCUGAAGCACACACUGUAGGAGAUAUGUAAAUAUAUGAUCCAAGGAAGUUUGUUAGCAUCUGACAACAAAUCUCCUUGAUGCUUUCAUAUGCAGACAGAUAAGCUAAAUAUGUAUUUUACCAUGUAGCUUUGCACUCCACUUUUGCUUUACUGGCAGUUUGCCUCUCUUCCUUUGUGUGUUAUUUGCCUUAGUUCUUCCUUCAGUUACAGAAGCCCACUUUCAUUUUUCUAUUAAAUAUAGGGUAUUAAAAAAGUACAAUACAUAUACAAAUACCUGAUGACAGGGAGCCAGGCUUUUCUUGGUAGUAUGCAGUGAUGGGAUGAACAGCAAUGGGCAUACACAGAAAUACAAGAAAUUAUGUUUAAACGUAAGAAAAGUCUUUUUCUACUGUGGAGGCGAUCCGAUGCCGAGAGAGACUGUAGUGUCUCUAUCCUCAGAGGCACCUGAAACUCAAGUGUAUGUGGUCCUGGGCAGCCUGCAUUACCUGACAUUGCUUGGGAAGGGGUGUUGGACGGUCUCUGGAGGUGCCUGCCAGCCUCAGCUGUUCUGUGAGCCUGUGAAUAUACCUGUAUUCUGUAACAUGCACAAAUACACAUUGAAAAAUGAUGACUUUGUGAUGUGGUCCAUGGACCUGGACUUAUCUUUGCCAGUCCACGCCGCUGCCUAGUGGACCUUGCCCAGCCUGUGCAAGGGUGUUACAGCUCUGCUUGCUUCCUCUGUGGCACAGAGUCACAGCAGGGAGCAAAAACAUCCUGACAUGAGAGGAAAGAGGAAAAGGAUGUGGUCCAGUUCCAAGUUACUGGGACUGAAGACCUUCCAGGCCUCCUUGGCAGGCAGCCUUCUCCCCUGCUCCGGCGCCGAGGCACAAGGCUCACCACCACACACAGCAGCAAAGGAGAGCAGGAAAAGAAAGGCACCACCAUGUGCAUUGUGCUGGUCAUGCAGACAGCUGGCUGGCGCUUCGCCUGAGGGACCUUCCUGGCCUGCUCUUCCCAUCCGAAAGCACAGACCAGCCCUGGGAAAGGGACAGCAGCCAAUAUAGCUGUACAUGGUAGGUAGCCCUCUAGUUCUUGCACUGCCUUCCACUUAUAAUAAAAAUAAACCCAUACAAAUCCUCCAUAAAUAAACAGACGGAAAGGCUAAGUGGAGACCAUCCAAGCUACUUUGACAGCAGCAGUACAGCUGAUGACUGAUUAGAGAGGUAGCUCACCGAAGCCCAAUUAUAGUCUAGUGUUUAAUUGCUCCUAGGCAGCGCCAGCCUCCUGGGCAGGAGGCAGCUGGCUGCCUGCAGUCUUCAUACCCUGGGGGAGAAGGUAAAAAAACUUCUCUGGCUCUGUGGGUUUUUUGUCUUUGGCACAAUUUGGAAACAAAUCACUCAUCAUUUUUAUUGCUGUAAAUGUUACCCUUCUUUUUUUUCCCCCUUUACAUGAGGCAACCUUCAAUUAGCUGCAUGAGUAAGACCAUACCAUCUCUCUUAAAUGCCUUAAAUUCUCUCCUCAAAAGGUUAUUUCUUUUGUGGGAAGCUGGCACGUAUUUAGUCCCAUCGACUCCUACCCUCCUCCUGAAAGACCUUGCUGCCUCAUGCCCUACCAUUGUUUCCUUCUGUGACCGUGACCAUCACACUUCACUUCUGAGAGAGAGGUCAGGUCUAUGAGACCUGCGGGCACCUUGUUGUGCGGAAACGCUGCUCCCAAAGGAGGGAGAACCCUCCUUGCACCUGCCACCCCCGGGCUGCAGCACUGGAGUAGCUCCCUUCUCUCUCCCCAGAGAGCCCUUUGCUUUCCCAGUAAAGCCAUGUGGAGCUAAAAAAGGUGCAAAGGACUACAUUCCAAUGGAUUUUCUACACCUACCAAAACUCACUUUUGAAGGGACAGGGAGAGGAGGAAAAAAGACUCGUGAUUGUCAGCUCUUGAAAAAUAAACUUCACAAAUAAUUACUACUGCUGUGAGCAAGUUGCUGUACCAAGAACUCAAUGUAUGCAGUUUAUUUGUUUUACGCUAUCAAACUUAGUAUUGUUUUUUUUUAAUAAAUAUAUUACCUAGAUGCUCAUAUAGGUAAUAUAUUAUAAUAAAUCUUAUGCAUCAUGUGUGUCAGUUGUAUCAAUAUUUGUAUCUAUAUCAUUACAUGUUUUUUGAUCUAUAUAUGUGUCAGUAAAGUUGAAGUUUUAUGGUCAAAUGGCUGCAGGAUGGUUUCUGACAGCUGGAAUCCCAUGAUACUGGAAGCAUCCCGUCCCUUGGCAGCUGGCCAUGCCACGAACAUCAGGGCAGCGCUGAGGGCAAGGGAGCAGCCACGGG